rnacentral:rRNA from 1 species
UACGUAGGGGCUAGCGUUAUCCGGAAUUACUGGGCGUAAAGGGUGCGUAGGUGGUUUCUUAAGUCAGAGGUGAAAGGCUACGGCUCAACCGUAGUAAGCCUUUGAAACUGGGAAACUUGAGUGCAGGAGAGGAUAGUGGAAUUCCUAGUGUAGCGGUAAAAUGCGUAGAUAUUAGGAGGAACACCAGUGGCGAAGGCGGCUAUCUGGACAGUAACUGACGCUGAGGCGCGAAAGCGUGGGGAGCAAACAGGAUUAGAUACCCUGGUAGUCCCUGAGCGGG